UAUGUAGACACUUUGAGGAUCAUGCUGCUGGACUGAAGUUUCUAUCAGCCUGAGCCAACAUGGCAAAUGGUUGAGAAAGCUAAGAAAAAAACAUGAUAGUCAUGCCUACAUAUUUGAAAGGAUGAGGGAUGCCUGGCUUGACAGCAGUAUGUGUGAAAAAGAUCUUGGAGUCCUUGUGGAGAACAAGUUAAACAUAAACCAACAAUGUGAUGCAGUGGCUUAAAAAGCCAAUGGGAUUUUGGAUUGCAUCAAUAGGAGUCUAGUGUCUAGAGCCAGGGAACUGCCCCUCUCUUCUGCCUUGGUCAGACCACACCUGGAAUCACACUGUGUCCAAUUCUGGGCAUCGCAACUUUAGGGAGAUGUUGACAAACUGGAAUGUGUCCAGAGGAGGAUGAUUAAAUUAUCAAGGGUCUGGAGAAGAAGCCCUAUGAGGAGCGGCUUAAAGAGCUGGGCAUGUUUAGCCUGCAGAAGAGAAGGCUGAGAGGAGACAUUAUGAGGGCCAUGGAUCAAGAAGUGAGGGAGCAGGCUUGUUUUCUGCUGCCCUGGAGACUAGGGUGCGGAACAACGGCUUCAAAUGACAAAAAAGGAGACUCCACCUGAACAUGAGGAAGAACUUUCUCGCUGUGAGAGAGAGCUGUUCAGCAGUGGAACUCUCUGCCUCGGAGUGUGGUGGAAUCUCCUUCUUUGGAGGCUUUUACAUAGAGGCUAGAUGGCCAUCUGUCGGGAGUGUUUUGAAUACGAUUUUCCUGCAACUUGGCGAGGGUUGGAUUGGAUGGCCCAUGGGGUCUCUUCCAACUCUACUAUUCUAUGAUUCUAUGAUUCUAUGAUUCUACAAUGAACACAUAUAUGGCAAACAUUCAAUGCCAACUGACAGACAACAUUCAGUUUAGACAGACACAGAGGCAUUUUAAACAUCUUUCCAGCUUCACGAUUCUGACACAGGGGGAGCUGUUGCUUCACCGUCCAUUGGUGGCUGUUCUUCCUCAUUCUUUUCCUCGUGAGCAGUUUUAUGGUGUUGUAGAUUAGUUAAAUUAGCCUCCCACAUAAAGCGUACCUAAAUUUUCCCUACUUGACAGAUGCAAUUGUCUUUCGGGGCUGCUAGGUCAACAGCAAGCCGGGGCUAUUUUUUUUUUUAUGGUCGGAGGCUUAACCCGACCCGGGCUUCGAACUCAUGACCUCUCGGUCAGUAGUGAUUUAUAGCAGCUGGUUACUAGCCAGCUGCGCCACAGAAUCAGCCCGGCCCCGGUUGAUUCUUCCUAUCAACUUCCUUCGCUGUCCAGCGUUCAUAUCAGCAGACAGAGACUGGAAAUACUCUAGCUGGGAUUAUUCUAACUUUGGUGUCUAUUGGUUUACUGAUAGGGAAUACUUAUGAAUUUCAAAAAAAACCUGGAUUUCCUACUUCUUUUUUGUAGUACAAACCUCUCUCCCCUCAUUACCCCAAAGAAUAUGCUGUUGUAAAGGCCCUUUAGAUCUCGAAAGGGACUUGUCGUAUGGCACACAGACGUUUCCUGUUCAAGAAACACAAGCCGGGGUCUGCCUGGGCACCAGGGCUAGCGGCACAUUUCUCCGUUUCCCGGCUUCUGAAGUAAAAACAGAGCUAUGUUCACCAAUGCAUUCCAUUCACAGCCAUCAGGAUAACCUUUGAGGAAUCAUGCAUAGGAACGGGAUGCAAACAUUUUACAUGCAGUGAGUCAGCCACCCAAAUGGUUUCAAGCUGUUUCGGUGACCUUCAGGGAAAGUUCUAGAUCUCACAUUGCCAGGAAUAUUUAGCAGGAUGCUUUUCUUGAGUUUAUCACACACACCAAAGAGAGAGAUUUGAUCUUUUGUGCAAAGCUAGCACCAAAAGGAUGGAGUGAUGAGGUAAAAACACCUUAAGAAGACAUGCUAGGUCUGAAAAAUGAGUUGAAAAUUCCAAAAUACAUCAGAUACUAAUUGAGGCAACUUGGGUAAAUAAUUCGUUGGAUUAAAUGCAGUUGUGACCUUGAAUGUGAUGUUUUAUAGAUGGUAACACUGAAGGUGAGUGACCAUAAAAUAGGUGCCAGGCAAGAUGACACAUUCUCCAAAAAUAGUGCAAAACAUUAUAAAAACAGUAAAACAGAAGGUCAGUUUUGUGGUAGUGGAAACCUCCUCUGCAAAAAGGUACACUACAUCUGAAUAUGGAGGCUCCACUAAUGU
rnacentral:lncRNA from 1 species